UACGAAGGGGGCGAGCGUUGUUCGGAGUUACUGGGCGUAAAGGGCGCGUAGGCGGCGAUCCAAGUUAGGCGUGAAAGCCCCGGGCUUAACCUGGGAAUUGCGUCCGAUACUGGUGGGCUCGAAUCCGGGAGAGGGAUGUGGAAUUCCAGGUGUAGCGGUGAAAUGCGUAGAUAUCUGGAGGAACACCGGUGGCGAAGGCGGCAUCCUGGACCGGUAUUGACGCUGAUGCGCGAAAGCCAGGGGAGCAAACGGGG
rnacentral:rRNA from 1 species